UGGCGGACGGGUGAGUAAUGUCUGGGAAACUGCCCGGUGGAGGGGGAUAACUACUGGAAACGGUAGCUAAUACCGCAUAACGUCGCAAGACCAAAGAGGGGGACCUUCGGGCCUCUUGCCAUCGGAUGUGCCCAGAUGGGAUUAGCUAGUAGGUGGGGUAACGGCUCACCUAGGCGACGAUCCCUAGCUGGUCUGAGAGGAUGACCAGCCACACUGGAACUGAGACACGGUCCAG
rnacentral:rRNA from 1 species